AAGAGUUUCUAGGGUUGUUUCAUCUUCAACGUUUCAGAUCUGUGUAAUUGUUUUGAUAAUUCUGCGAAUUUCCUGAGAUGCCUCCUAGGACGGUAAAGAGAGGGGCGGCGUCCGCGGGUUCGAAGAGAGGUGGUAGGGUUACCAGGGGGACACCGAAGAAGCAAGAUCAGCCGGCGGAAAGAGAAGCUGCGGAAGAGACGGUGAAGGUCGAGGAGGUCUCGAUGGUUGAGGUUGAAACCAAGGAGCUUGGCGAGGAAGUCACGGUGCAAGAAAAAAGCCCUGUUGUAGAAGAUAAGCCUGUUAUUCAGAAUAAGCCGGUAGUUGUGGAGGAGAAACAACCGAUUGCUAUAGACGUUGAGGAGGUCGAGCCUUCGCACGAAGUCAGAUCGGAUUCGAAACAGUCUAUUCCACCUAAAAAAGAAGAAGAAGUAAAGGACGAAGAAUAUGGAAAGGACGAGCGCUUGGAUCUUGAAGAUAAUGAUCCCGAAUCAGAACCUGAUGAGGACGGAGGGUUUGAGUAUGACGAAAAAGAAAAUGAACAGGAGGAUGUUCAGGAGGUGGUAGAUGGAGAGGGGGAGCCUGAGGACAAUGUGGGUGAGGAGGAGGGUGAUAUGGUUGAAGACGAUGCUGAGGAUGCCCAGGAGGAUCUCGAGGGUGAAGAGGAUGAUCGGCAAGCUGGUGAAGACCAUGAGCAUGCUGGCAUGGUUGAUGUGGAUGAGGAUGAGCAUAAUGAAGUUGUAAAAGAGAGGCGUAAACGCAAGGAGUUUGAAGUGUUUGUUGGAGGCUUGGACAAAGAUGUAAAAGAGGAGGAUCUGAAGAAGGUUUUCAGUGCAGUUGGCGAAGUUACUGAAGUCAGGCUAAUGAUGAACCCCCAGACAAAGAAGAACAAAGGUUUUGCAUUCUUACGUUUUGGUACUGUGGAGGAGGCAAAACGAGCUGUGUCAGAGCUAAAGAACCCAGUGAUUAAUGGGAAACAAUGUGGUGUGACUCCAAGUCAAGACAGUGACACCCUUUUUCUUGGUAACAUAUGCAAGACAUGGAAAAAGGAUGCCCUGAAGGAGAAGUUGAAACAUUAUGGAGUUGAUAAUGUUGAGGAUCUGACGUUGGUAGAAG
rnacentral:misc_RNA from 1 species